UCGGUGGACCUUCGGCGCCGGGGCCGAACCCUCGCCGUCCCACGUCCUUGGGGACCAACGGGGCGGGCGCGUCUGGACGGCGAGAAGCCCGGCCGGGGCCUCUCCAGCCCCGGGAUCCUGACGGGAGCGACGGAGGGAGGAGCGGCGUCCUGCGGGCUGUGCGGCAAAGUCACCUGCCUCUUUUUGAAUUCCUUGCACAAGUUCCCAUCAACAACUUAGUCCUUUUUUAAGGCUAGGCCGGUGUCUGAACUUAGUAGGCAUGCAAUAAAUGUUAAAGGAACUACUGAAUAAAGAAGUUUUUCACUGGUCAGUACAAUGACGGUUGAUGGCAUGAUCAUCCAACUUGCCUCAAAGAAUUCAUCGGUGUGCUGUUAUCAAGCAGAAGUUUUCAAAUAUGAGUUCUCUAACUCAAGGAAAGUUGCUGGAUCCAGGCAGAAAGACGUCUGGGAACUCCCUAAGUGUGCAUGAUUUGUUUUCUGAGAAAGUUGUUUCAGCAUUUUUGUUUGUUUUUGGAAUACUUCUCUCUACAUUAUCUUCCAGACUCUAAACUACUAGAUAGUUCCUAAGUUCCUUCAGUUCUGUCCCAUGUCAGAGUUCUUGGUCCGCUUCCCACCCUCUGGCUCCAUGGAUUAAAAAUAAAUAACAAUAAAGUAACAAAAAUCA